CAAAAUCAAUGCAUUUUAAUUGGAAGUGUUUAUGAAACCCAGGAGAGUUUCCUAAAUGUAUUAAUUGCUUCCCAAGGAAAUAUAAAAUUCACAAUUACUAAAACCAUGAAAAUUAAUACAAUGACAGCUCUAAAAGAUUGCUUUGUAAACUAUUGCUAAAUACAUGAAAAUAAACCAAUUGACCUUUUAAGAAGUUAAAAAAAAUCUCUGAUGAUCAGUAUACAUGAAUUGUUUGCCUUGAGACUAACCAACUUACUUAGGGCAGCACUGCACUUCAUUGAAAAGAGAUUGCAUCAGCUGUGUCGCUAGUUUUAAAAAAGUUAUUUCAGCAAAGAAGGUAGCCAAAAAGUUAGAUGUGAAUUAUCCUCCCCUUCCUUGCACCCCUACCGUAUAUUAGUACAGGUAAAAAAUUCUCUAUUAAUUCUGAAUUUAGACUUUAAAAAGCAGUUUGAAGUAAAAAAUAGCAAUUACCUUUCUGUAUCCUAAGAUUCUUUUUUCAUUUAAAGUUUCCACUGAAUUGCAUCAGAUGAUAGGAUGAAGGGCCAGCUCUCCAUAAAAUACCAGAUUUGCAAAGCUUUAACAACCUGAAAUUUUCCCCUGGAAAAGAACCUUCUCAUUUGCAUUUGGAUGGCCAAUCUUUCAAUAAACAUUUCUGAGCAGCUUCCAUGUGGCUAUUGCUGUGUGAGGCAUAGCAACAUAGACAGAAAGACCCAAUCCUUGGCCUCAGAAGUGCACAGUCUUAGGAGAACAGGGGUAUUAGCUUUAUUAAUGAGAGCCCAAGAGAAUCAACACAUAAGUCCACCAAGGACCAAGCAGUUUACCUGAGAAUUGAAGGAUGAAUAAGAGUUUGCCAGGCAGUCAAAAUUGGCAAAGGCAUUCCAACAGAAAGACUAGUGUGGAUGAAAGAUACAACGACCUGAAAAAAUGGGUCAGGGUCAAAGAGCAAUUAGCUGGGAGUAGACCCUACAAUAUGGGGGAUUCCAUGGAACAUGGGGCUCGAUAAGUGAGCAGAGGACACAUUAAAAUAAUGAUUCAUCAUUGAGCACUUUUAAUGUACCAGGUACAAUGAGAGGUAUUUCACUCAGAUUAUUUGAUCUCCCAAAAAACCUUUUAAAAUAAGUACUAUUAUUAUCACCCCAAUUUCACAGAUGAGGAAAGUGAGGCACAAAGAAGUCAAGUUACUAGUUCAAAGUCUCAUAGCUACUCAAUGGCUUUGAAGCAACAUCUUCAUCUCUGGAAUCCACACGUUUAACCACCUUUCAAAUUAUGAAGGAUCUUGCAGACCAAACACAGGAGCUGAAAAAUAUCUUUUAGGCAAUGGGAAGCUACUGAUGAAUACUGAGCAUGGAUACUGAAUAACACCAUCUGAUAUAUACAAUAAAAUGAUGACUGUGGUGCUCUAAAAGAUAAAGAUUUCAGUUUUACUUGUUUGUGUGUUGCGGCAGGGGCAGCAGGAGGAAGGCAGAGCACAAAGGCCAGAAUCCCCAUAAUGAGGAGAAUGCAAUUCUUAGUAAAAGAGAAAGCACAGGCCUGACUUGGGCAGUAGCAUUGUGGGUAGAGCAAAAGGGGUAGAUGUACAGAUUUUUAGGAAGUGGAAAAAAAGGAAGACGUGGAUAUUGGAUAUAGAACAGGUAUAAGACAGGUGAGUGCGAAGCAUCAACUAUUAAGAAGGGAACAUCUCUUUCCCACUCCAGAUGUUUCCCUAAAUGUGAAAGGACAUCAAUUAAUAUAAACUUUCUGGCUUAUUUCUGUCCUCCUACUUCCACACCCUUCCAGGUAUAGCAUUUUAUAUGAUGGUGAAUUUGGCAGGAAAAAAAAAAAAGACAUUCCUCUUUCUUCUCUCUUGGUGGCAAGUUGACCUCAGAAAGCACAUUUUCUACUCUGCAUUUCAACACAGCAAGGAGCCUUACAAUUUUAGAAAAUAAACUCAGUGCCAUCCCCCUCAGUCCCCACAACUGAUGUAUGAACCAGGAAUAUUGAGAAAUGAGACAAAAUGCUGACAAUUGAGGAUACAUAAGUCCCAAGCCUUUGGUGCUCCCCAUGAUUUGAGGCCGUCUGGUGAGUAGAGAAGCUUAGAUGUUCCAUGUGGCAGGUUUUGACAGUUAGGCAGUUGGUUUUUAACUGCCUAGCAGGACAAGAGGCCAUAUGCAGUUUUCCCCUUGGCUGAUCUUUUCUUCUUGUGGCUUAUUCCACAAACAAGAUGCAGAAUGGCAUAUACAGAACCCUGCAACGGCCCAGCCUCAUCACAAGAGAGGAACAGACCAUAGAGGGGUGGGGCAGAAAGAGGAAUGAUUUUUUUUUAACUGCGCCUUUUAAACUGCGAAGCAGCUAAGCUCCAUAUAUACAGAAGAGCCCCAUGGAAGUCUGGGUGUAUAUAGGGUUAUGUUUUCCAGAAUGGCUUGGUUUCCUGAAGCCUACUUUGCAAUUGUUGAAGUGAUUUGCCCACUCUAGAGAAGGUAUAUGAAGUGGAAAUGGAAUAUGAAGAGAUAUUCGUACAAGGGAACAAGAUGGAGUCUCACUCUGUUGCCCAGGCUGGGGUGCAGUGGUUUGAUCUUGGCUCACUGCAACUUCUGCCUCCUGGAUUCAAGCAAUUUUCCUGCCUCAGCCUCCCGAGUAGCUGGGAUUACAGGAACCCACCACCACGCCUGGCUAAUUUUUUUUUUUUUUAUUUUCAGUAGGGACAGGGUUUCACCAUGUUGCCCAGGCUGGCUUCAAACUCCUAACCUCAAGUGAUCUGCCUGCCUCAGCCUCCCAAAGUCCAAGGAUUACAGGCAUGAUCCACAGUGCCCACCCAUUAACAAAGUCUUUCUUAACAAAAUCUGCUGGCGGGGAGGGUGAGGGUGCCUAAAAUGAAGAGGUUUGAGGGGUAGGAGGGAUGCAGAUCUGUGAUUAGGCCAGGUUAGGACUAAAGGAGGGGUCCCUGGGCCAGCCCUCAGGACUGGAGAACCCCUGAGAUAGACAGGACAAUGCCCCAUCACCCUUAUGCCAAACACACCUGGAGGAUCUGAGUGUUGUCCUUCUCCUUGACUAUUGAGGAAGGAGAACUAGUCCCCUGAGAAACAGAUAAAAGAGGUCAGUAUCCUGGAUUGCAUCCUUAGACUACCAGUACUAUUUUAUCAUCUACUAAUUAAUUCUCUGGGCUGUAGAAUGUGUCUUUUCCAUUAUCAGCUACAAGUUUAGUUUCAUAUGUGGGUACUUACGAAUAUGUAUAAAAGGGAAUCAGUGUUUAAGUACAUUCUUGUACCUGAUGCUUUAUUUUCAUUUCCUUAUUGAAUCUCCUCUACACCUGCGUGUAGUUGUAUUCUUACCCAUCUAUUGUAUGUGAGAGAAACAAAACUCAAAAAGGCCAAGUAGCACACUUAUGCAAAGGAACACACUUGUGAAAAACUGGUCUGGCAUUCAAAUUUAGGUCAGAUUCCAAAGCCCCUGCUCUUUCUACAACAUCGUGGAGGCUGGUGAGAUGUAGAUUUCCUCACAAGCUGAGGAGAUUGAAUUUGGCAUUGAAUAGCGUCAUCCAAAUUCUUACCUCUGAAAAUAGUUUUGGCAGCUCCUCAAGUAACUGCUUUGUAUUUUGUUGCCUAACAUUCAUUUCUGUUUGAUAACAUUUCCAAUAUUUAAAUACAUUGAAGAUUUUGUUGAUCUGCUGACAUUUAAAUUAGUUUUUGCAUCUUUCCUUCUGACAAUUUUAGGUCAUUGAAUUUCAGAACAGAGUCAUGAUUAUAAAAAAAGAGUUUCCACCAUAUGUAAAAAGACUAUGAUGUUAUACACAGAAAAAAAGGCCAAAGAUGAAAGUUCUGA
rnacentral:lncRNA from 1 species